rnacentral:RNase_P_RNA from 1 species
ACAGGCAGUAAUUGGCUGCCCCGCAAGCCGUUUGAACGGAUGCGGGGAGGAAAGUCCGGGCUCCGGAGGAUAGUGUAGCGGGUAACGCCCGCCCCGCAUAAUACUUUAGUAUUAUGCGGAGGAUUUCCCGCCUACGGCGGGAACCCGCGAUUUCGCGGGAGAGCCACAGAGACGAGUAUCCGCUUAAAAGCGGAAAGGUGAAACGCGGCAAUCUCUACGCGGAGCAAGGUAGAAUAGGAGAUGAGUUCUUUCAGUCCGGUUUAUCCGGACUGCGGGACACGCGCUGAUCCGGCGCGUUUACCACCUGCGGCGGACUUGUCCGCCGCGGCGGAAAACAAUCUCGGGUAAGCUGCUAAAGUUUCCGCGGCAACGCGGAAAUUGAGAGGAAUGGCCAAGAAGACAGACAAAACCCGGCUUAUACUGCCUGUUUAA